GGAGUUGGUUGGCCUUCCGGGUAACGUACUGACACAGGUGGCUGCAUGGCGUGUCGUCAGGCUCGUGUCGUGAGAUGUUGGGUUAAGUCCCGUAACGAGCGCAACCCUUGUCCUUAGUUACCAGCACGUUAUGGUGGGCACUCUAAGGAGACUGCCGGUGACAAACCGGAGGAAGGUGGGGAUGACGUCAAGUCAUCAUGGCCCUUACGGCCUGGGCUACACACGUGCUACAAUGGUCGGUACAAAGGGUUGCCAAGCCGCGAGGUGGAGCUAAUCCCAUAAAACCGAUCGUAGUCCGGAUCGCAGUCUGCAACUCGACUGCGUGAAGUCGGAAUCGCUAGUAAUCGUGAAUCAGAAUGUCACGGUGAAUACGUUCCCGGGCCUU
rnacentral:rRNA from 1 species